UGCAUUUACAGAUUUUCAUUGCAAAGUAAUGGCUCUGUCAACAACAAUACUGAUACAAAAAAUCAACUUAUUUUAAACAAGUGUAAACCAAAACAUAUUUCAAACUAAUUCAUUUAAAAAAUUGUCGGUCAGGCAAUAUAUGACAGUGAUUCCUUCUAGUUUUGUCUAGCAAAUUCCUACACUUCCACCAAUAUCAAUAAGGUGUAGAAAUAGUUAUCAAAGGUACCAGGAUUAUAAUUUAGUACGCCAGACGCGCGUUUCGUCUUCAUAAGACUCAUCAGUGACGC
rnacentral:lncRNA from 1 species